rnacentral:rRNA from 1 species
ACCUAGCGGCGGACGGGUGAGUAAUACUUAGGAAUCUGCCUAUUAAUGGGGGACAACAUCUCGAAAGGGAUGCUAAUACCGCAUACGCCCUACGGGGGAAAGCAGGGGAUCACUUGUGACCUUGCGUUAAUAGAUGAGCCUAAGUCGGAUUAGCUAGUUGGUGGGGUAAAGGCCUACCAAGGCGACGAUCUGUAGCGGGUCUGAGAGGAUGAUCCGCCACACUGGGACUGAGACACGGCCCAGACUCCUACGGGAGGCAGCAGUGGGGAAUAUUGGACAAUGGGGGGAACCCUGAUCCAGCCAUGCCGCGUGUGUGAAGAAGGCCUUAUGGUUGUAAAGCACUUUAAGCGAGGAGGAGGCUCUUUUGGUUAAUACCCAAGAUGAGUGGACGUUACUCGCAGAAUAAGCACCGGCUAACUCUGUGCCAGCAGCCGCGGUAAUACAGAGGGUGCGAGCGUUAAUCGGAUUUACUGGGCGUAAAGCGUGCGUAGGCGGCUUUUUAAGUCGGAUGUGAAAUCCCCGAGCUUAACUUGGGAAUUGCAUUCGAUACUGGGAAGCUAGAGUAUGGGAGAGGAUGGUAGAAUUCCAGGUGUAGCGGUGAAAUGCGUAGAGAUCUGGAGGAAUACNCGAUGGCGAAGGCAGCCAUCUGGCCUAAUACUGANGCUGAGGUACGAAAGCAUGGGGAGCAAACAGGAUUAGAUACNCCUGGUAGUCCAUGCCGUAAACGAUGUCUACUAGNCGUUGGGGUCUUUGAGACUUUAGUGGCGCAGCUAACGCGAUAAGUAGACCGNCUGGGGAGUACGGUCGCAAGACUAAAACUCNAAUGAAUUGACGGGG